rnacentral:lncRNA from 1 species
ACUUAAAAAGCAAGUUUAAUGACAUCUGUACAAGAUUUAUUUUUCAUUAACCACAAUACUUUAGAGUGAGAAUAUACACCUAAUACAGAGGAGUGAUUCAGAAUCCACCAUGUUUAUAAGGAGAGAGCCCAGGCCAACAGCUUUGUACCCCAGCGCAGGAAGUGCUUCAGUCAUGUUCUUUAAGUAAGCUGUGAAGGACAGUGCCAGAUCUACCAUUUCUUAUGACAAAUGGUCUGGAGAACAGACAGCAAUGCUUCAUUUACUCUGCUAUGCUGGUGGGCGGCAAACUCCGUUAGCCUGCACAUGAUCUCCAAAUUUUGUAUAAGCAUUUGUUUGAGCCAAUUUCCCAGGACUUGAUGUUUAAGUAAGUAAUUUCUCUGAAAAUUGAUGGCUGUUAACACUGACGUAAGACUAAGAACCAAGAACACUGCCACCUUUAAGAGAAUACCCAGUCUCACUGAAUUUAGUACAAUCACAGUAUUUAAACAUGUAAGAACCAAAGUAUUUAUCUUCUUUUUUUUUUUUUUAACAAAUCACUCAACCCAAGAGCCGUGUUGACAACUUCCCUGGGUAUAAUCCAGCAGCACUCUUCUAACACUGGAAUCAGGCCUAAAAUGAAGAUCUUCAUGGCAGACAUUGGUCCUGUAAAGUAACAGGUCCUGCACCCAGGAGGCAGACCCAUCCCUGGCUCAGGAAGGAGGUUUAAAUUAAGGUGCCAGCUAGUGCAGGAGGAAGGAGGCAGUGACUGCAGCUAAGCAGCAGGGGACCAGAGAGGGAGCAUUUCCUUUGGAAAAGAAUAAGCACCUCCUUCCAAAUAGUCUAGGGGUCAGAAACCAAGGAAAAUUUCUACACGAUAACAAAAGCACAGAAGAGCCACUUCUCUAUGAACCCCUAUGACUUCUGCUUGAACCUCUGGUAAAAACGAACAUUUUACACAGUAUUACUAAAAGCAGUCACCAACAGAAAAGGUCAAUACUUCUUCCAGAUGUCAGUUAAGGGUGUCACAUUCCAACCUUGAAUUUUAACGUCCCC